rnacentral:rRNA from 1 species
GACGAACGCUGGCGGCGUGCUUAACACAUGCAAGUCGAACGGAAAGGCGCUGCUGUUGUGUCGUGCUCAGGUGGCGAACGGGUUAGUAACUCGUGAGUAACCUGUCCUUGACGGUGGGAUAACUUCAGAAGACUGGGACUAAUACCGGAUAGGAGCUCCUGCUGCAUGGGGGGGGUGGGAGAGUAUCGGCGGGUGGGGAUGGACGCGCGGCUUAUCAGCUUGUUGGUGGGGGAGUGGCUUACCAAGGCAUUGAGAGGUAGCCCGCCUGAGAGAGUGACCGGCGCCACAGGGACUGAGAGACACCCCAGACUCCUACGGGAGACAGCGGUGUGGAGAAUUGUAGAAUGGGCGGACGACUGUUGCAGAAACGCUGCGUGUGGGAUGACGACCUUCGCGUUGUAAAAAGCUUUCUCAUGUGACGAGGCGUGAGUGACGGUACUGGGUAAAGAAGCACCGGCUAACUACGUG